GCCAGGCAUGGCGGCACAUGCCUGUAAUCCCAGUGGCUCAGAGGUUGAGGCAGGAGGAUCGUGAGUUAAGGCCCUAAGCAACUUAGCGAGACCCUGUCUCUG
rnacentral:sRNA from 1 species